rnacentral:lncRNA from 1 species
UAACUGUGGGCUCUAUGCUUUUGGAGCGAUAAUUAAAAGGAGGGGGUUGGAGCUGCCCAGGGGCUAGGUAACUAUGAGGUUGGAAUAAAGAGUCUUAUCCCUCCAUUCAGCAACUGACUGAUAGCAUGAAACAAAGAUGAAUAUGUAAGAAGGCUGGUUGAAUCAAAGGCUAAGCAGUUUCAAGACAUCUUGAUGCCUGGAUGAAAGAUGUUUCUUCUGAGUCAGCAGUGUUCUUCUCCAGCAUUUUGCAAGGUGUUUUCUCCUGCUGGCAAAAUCAGAAAUACUAGUAACUUAACAAGGCUUUUAAAGGGGCAACACUUUGGUCUCCAAUGGAAAUUUACUUCCAUUCCACCCUGUUGCGAUCUUAAGGAAGUUGCCAGUGGAAAUCUGUCCACAAUGAAGUAAGUGGCCAGAGUAGCUGGGUACACUGAAUCCUCUAUUUCAAAAGUCAAUGAGGUGUUGUUACUGUGAAUGUAAAACACAUUGGAGACAGAAGGAAAGGAGGAGAAGAUAAUGCGUGUCAUUUUGCAAUCAGUUCAUUAGGAAAAGGAAAAAAAAAAAACAAAACAAAAAAACCCAAAAAG